rnacentral:lncRNA from 1 species
CAAAUCAGUUACCCGCAGUUACUUCUGGGUCCACUGUCACGUUUGACAUUGAAGCCGUGACUCUAGGAACCACCAGUAAUAAUGAAGGUGGACACUUCAAGCUUCGAUCGCUCUGUCACCCAGGCUAGAGUGCAGUGACACAAUCAUAGCUCACUACAGCCUCAGACUCCUGGGCUCAAGAGAUCCUCCCACCUUGGUCUUCCAAAGUACUAAGAUUACAAGUGUGAGCCACUGCACUCAGCCCUCUGUGAGAUUUUAAAAACAAUUUUUACACAUCUAACAUGCAGAUUUUGGCUUAAAAAUACUAUUCUUCUAUAAGGAAUCAGGACUCCUUGAAGAAAUCACAACUUCAGAGCAGAGGAACGAGGUCUUGCUAUGUUGUCCAAACUGGUCUCAAACUCCUGGGCUCAAAGUCUUCGCACCUUGGACUCCCAAAGUGUUAGGGUUACAGGUUGUGAGACUUUGGAGGACAGGACUGAAUGCUUUAAUCAUCUUCGAUUAAAUUAAAUCAUCCCCAGCACC